rnacentral:rRNA from 1 species
GACGAACGCUGGCGGCGUGCUUAACACAUGCAAGUCGAACGGAAAGGCCCUGCUUUUGUGGGGUGCUCGAGUGGCGAACGGGUGAGUAACACGUGAGUAACCUGCCCUUGACUUUGGGAUAACUUCAGGAAACUGGGGCUAAUACCGGAUAGGAGCUCCUGCUGCAUGGUGGGGGUUGGAAAGUUUCGGCGGUUGGGGAUGGACUCGCGGCUUAUCAGCUUGUUGGUGGGGUAGUGGCUUACCAAGGCUUUGACGGGUAGCCGGCCUGAGAGGGUGACCGGCCACAUUGGGACUGAGAUACGGCCCAGACUCCUACGGGAGGCAGCAGUGGGGAAUAUUGCACAAUGGGCGGAAGCCUGAUGCAGCAACGCCGCGUGCGGGAUGACGGCCUUCGGGUUGUAAACCGCCUUCGCCUGUGACGAAGCGUGAGUGACGGUAAUGGGUAAAGAAGCACCGGCUAACUACGAG